rnacentral:rRNA from 1 species
GUGCACGCUGGCGGUAGGCCUAACACAUGCCAGUCGAACGGCAGCACCGUAAGAGCUUGCUCUUACGGGUGGCGAGUGGCGGACGGGUGAGGAAUACAUCGGAAUCUACUUUUUCGUGGGGGAUAACGUAGGGAAACUUACGCUAAUACCGCAUACGACCUACGGGUGAAAGCAGGGGAUCUUCGGACCUUGCGCGAUUGAAUGAGCCGAUGUCGGAUUAGCUAGUUGGCGGGGUAAAGGCCCACCAAGGCGACGAUCCGUAGCUGGUCUGAGAGGAUGAUCAGCCACACUGGAACUGAGACACGGUCCAGACUCCUACGGGAGGCAGCAGUGGGGAAUAUUGGACAAUGGGCGCAAGCCUGAUCCAGCCAUACCGCGUGGGUGAAGAAGGCCUUCGGGUUGUAAAGCCCUUUUGUUGGGAAAGAAAAGCAGCAGGUUAAUACCCCGCUGUUCUGACGGUACCCAAAGAAUAAGCACCGGCUAACUUCGUG